UGCUAAUAGUAUUUUUGCAACCAAUUUUGAAAAUACCAAAAGGUAAUUUGACUAAAAGAAACUAUUCACAUUUAUAGGAAAGCAUUUUGCAGUAAUUAUAUCAUCCUCAAGAAUACGAACAUAGAAUUCCCAUGCACAUGUAUUGCAUGGAACCAUUUUGGUUCUUUCACCAAUAUUUAUUACAAUUGAUCACAAGUUAGCCAAUGAAUUUGACAAAUUAUCCAUGUUCCUGAAAAUUUUCAUGCAGUAAUUGCAUCAAUCUCAGUUGCACUGAGUAAAUAUUGUCCUUGUUUGCAUAUUGUAAGAGAAUAAGUUUGCAUUUGCCAAAAAACUGACUACAACAGUGAAAAUGGAAGAAAAUAGCCUAAAUGAAACGUCAAUGAAGCUUUUUAUAAAUUCUUUACAUGCAAGCAUCCGCUCAAUAUGCUAAAUCAAAGCAUA
rnacentral:misc_RNA from 1 species